AUACGGAGGGUGCAAGCGUUACUCGGAAUUACUGGGCGUAAAGCGCGCGCAGGCGGUCUUUUAAGUUGGAUGUGAAAGCCUACGGCUCAACCGUAGAACUGCAUCCAAAACUAUUAGACUAGAGUGUGGGAGAGGAAGAUGGAAUUAGUUGUGUAGGGGUAAAAUCCGUAGAGAUAACUAGGAAUACCAAAAGCGAAGGCAAUCUUCUGGAACACUACUGACGCUGAGGCGCGAAAGCGUGGGGAGCAAACAGGAUUAGAUACCCCAGUAGUCC
rnacentral:rRNA from 1 species